AUUGAACGCUGGCGGCAGGCUUAACACAUGCAAGUCGAACGGUAACAUAAAGAAGCUUGCUUCUUUGAUGACGAGUGGCGGACGGGUGAGUAAUGCUUGGGAAUCUAGCUUAUGGAGGGGGAUAACUACGGGAAACUGUAGCUAAUACCGCGUAAUAUCGAGAGAUUAAAGUGUGGGACCUUCGGGCCACAUGCCAUAGGAUGAGCCCAAGUGGGAUUAGGUAGUUGGUGAGGUAAAGGCUCACCAAGCCGACGAUCUCUAGCUGGUCUGAGAGGAUGACCAGCCACACUGGGACUGAGACACGGCCCACACUCCUACGGGAGGCAGCAGUGGGGAAUAUUGCGCAAUGGGGGCAACCCUGACGCAUCCAUGCCGCGUGAAUGAAGAAAGCCUUCGGGUUGUGAAGUUCUUUCGGGAGCGAGGAAGGCAUGUAGUUUAAUAGACUAGGUGAUUGACGUUAACUACAGAAUAAGCACCUGUUAACUCCGUGCCUGCAGCCGCGGUAAUAUGGGAGGGUGGGAGCGUUAUUGUCAAUAACUGGCUGUGAAUGUCUGUGGUGGUUGGAUUGUGUGAGGUGUGAAUGCCUCUUGUUAACCUGGAUUGCUUUCAUUGUGUGUGGUGAUUAUUUUUGGAGGCUAGAAUUGUUGUUGAUGGUGAAUUGUUUUGGUUGGAUGUUGUUGCUGUUGUGGUUUUCUUUUUUGUUUUUGUGUUUUGUAUCUGUGUUGUUUUGUAUGUUUGUGUGAUGUGUGUGUUUGAAUGUGUGUGUGUUGUGUGGUGUUGUUGUGUGCUGUUGUGUUGGUGUGAAAUGAAAAAAGUAGUGUGAU
rnacentral:rRNA from 1 species